GACGAACGCUGGCGGCGUGCCUAAUACAUGCAAGUCGAACGCAGUGGGUACGGGUGAGUAACACGUGGGUACCCUUCCCAUCAGAGGGGUUAACACAUGGAAACUGGUGCUCAACCCAAACUGAUGGAUGGAGCUGCGGUGCAUUAGCUAGUUGGUGAGGUAACGGCUCACCAAGGCCACGAUGCAUAGCCGACCGGAGAGGGUGAUCGGCCACACUGGGACUGAGACACGGCCCAGACUCCUACGGGAGGCAGCAGUAGGGAAUCUUCGGCAAUGGACGAAAGUCUGACCGAGCAACGCCGCGUGAGUGAAGAAGGUUUUCGGAUCGUAAAACUCUGUUGUUAGAGAAGCGGUAUCUAACCAGAAAGCCACGGCUAACUACGUGCCAGCAGCCGCGGUAAUAC
rnacentral:rRNA from 1 species